rnacentral:rRNA from 1 species
CAGCAGCCACGGGAAUACGUAGGGUGCAAGCGUUAAUCGGAAUUACUGGGCGUAAAGCGUGCGCAGGCGGUUCGUUAAGACAGAUGUGAAAUCCCCGGGCUUAACCUGGGAACUGCAUUUGUGACUGGCGGGCUAGAGUAUGGCAGAGGGGGGUAGAAUUCCACGUGUAGCAGUGAAACGCGUAGAGAUGUGGAGGAAUACCGAUGGCGAAGGCAGCCCACUGGGCCAAUACUGACGCUCAUGCACGAAAGCGUGGGGAGCAAACAGGAUUAGAGACCCCCGUAGUCCCUGUCUCUUAUAC